rnacentral:lncRNA from 1 species
CAGGCCUCCACCCCCAAUUCACACACUGUUUAUAAAGGCUUCAGGAACGGUGAGCCGUUCUGGUAACCUUCUGAGGGGAAAGGAGGUGAGGCAGUUCCUCUUUUCAGAUGGACUCAGACACAUGUUAUGCUCACGUUGGACUCCAGUAGCUGAUUUAGCCUUGCAAGUUCACUCAGGGGCACGGGCCUGGGGCUGAAAGGAAUCCGUCUCUAAGCAGGUAAUGGACUGAGGGGUCAGCUGGAGGGACAGAGUCCCCUUUCCCUCCUAGGAGUCCCAGGAGACGAGUCCAGCAUCUGGCUCACACCCUUCCCGCCAGGGCCUCUGCCGUCCUCCGUCAAACCUGGUAAGUGACUCGUCAGGUCUUGGGCUUCAAAAGGGAGAUGGGCGCAGGCAGAAGGAUGCUACGAGCUCUAUUUCCGUAGGGAACUAGGCUAACUAUUCAUAUCCUGAUGAGGUUGCAGAAUAUGUGGGACACCCUCCCUCUUGUGGUUCCCUCCCUUUCUCUGCUAGUGAGUGAGUCUUAGUAGGAAUUUAAAUGAGCUUCUUUCCUCCCCUGCACCAAACUCUUUCUUCCCUGUCAACUCAAAUGAGAGUCCUUGGACAGCUUGCCUCCUCCAGGAAGCCCACUUGAAGGGAAUGCUCAUGCUUCUACCAGCUGAGAAGUGGGCAAGGCUUUGUCUCGGGGAGUUGCGAGACUUAAACGCUGAGCUGCUUCUUGGGGGAAUCAUUGUGCGACACUGGACCAGUCACCUCUCCUCUCAAGGCUGGAUUUCUGCACGGGUUAAAGGAGAUGGAAGGGGAUUAUCGCUACAUGCCCCCCCAGCUCUGAUGAAAGAGCCCUGUCUGUGCUGCUGGGUGGGCCGGUCUCGUUCCUCCAGCCUCCCAGCCCAGUGGGGGAUUGGGUACCCAGCCCGAGAGGCACUGCGUGUGGAUGGGCACGAGUAUCUGAAGCUCUGCGUCGUUUUCACCCCGCUUCAUUGUAGUUCUGUAACUGUCUGUCGGACAAUGACUGUGGGCAGGGCACUGCACUUGGCUAUUUUGGGGAUACCAACACUCACAAGACACAGCAUGCCACGGGGAGCUCACAGUCCAGCUAGCGGAUGGAUGAGAACUUUACAAAUAGCUAUUGAAAUAAGACAGCGUGUAAUAUAGAGCUACUCCGGGAGUACAGUGGUGCCUUAAAAUCACCUGGGGACCUCAUUCAGCAUGCACUUUCCUGCCUGCAACACCCCCUCUCCUCCCUGAGUUUCCACUACAGAGGAUUGGAGUGGGGUCUGGAAAUAUGCAUUUUUAACGAGCUUCUAGGGGCUUCUGAUACUGGUGAUGCAAGGGCCAGGCUUUGAGAAACACUAAGGGAGGCUGAGCGAGCAGACUGUGCUGGGUUUAGUUCGUGGUACCUUAAAG